UAAACGGUGACGUCAUUCUUCAAGGAAAUGGUCAUCGGUUUUGUGAGAUUUGUGUAAACAUUAGUACACGCUCGACUGUUAACAGUCUCAAACCCAGCGCAAGAAAAGGCUCAGAAUCAAAGCAAACACUCCUCACAAACAACAGACUUUAUUAUUCAGCAGGGAAACGACUAGAAUGUCUGCAUCGGUUGAUAUCCACGCGCAGCUGGCGUCCAUCAUCGAGCGCUUCGCCAAAUGCGCGCUGCUGGAGAUGAGUCGCGCGGUGGAGCAGGAGAUGACGCGCCGGCAGAUGGAGGUCGAGACGCUGCUGGUCAAACUGCAGUUUGCCGAGAGCGAACUGCGAUCAGCCCGACAGAACCAGCCGAACCUGCGCUCGGUGGGAAUACAGGUCAAUAACAGCGGACAGAGAGCAGAGGUAUGCAGGCUCAUGCAGGAAGACGGAAUCAAAUCCAUUCAGAUCAAAGAGGAACACAUGGAGGACGGACAGUGGGACAGCGGACCGAUUUCUCCUGCUCUUUGCCCGUUGGGUCCAGAGGUGGAGGAUCAGGAUAGUUUCAGCACGGGAACAACAGGAGCAGCUAGAGAGGGUAGUGAUUUUAUCCUAACGAGUAAAAUGAAUCCCGGUGGAAUGUGGAAUUCGCCUGUUUCCGAGGAAUAUCCAGCGAACUCCGGAGCCCAGAGUUUGGACGCUUCUCUGGAAACAGAGAACUUGUACCACAUUGUCACCUUUGUGGACACUGAAGAAGUGGAGGUUGUUCCUGCGGUCUGGGUGAAGAACGGUGUGUGUUUCUGGCCUCCGUACAAGGAUGAAGGAGUUCAGAGGGCGACCAAGGGUUCGGAGCAACCGGAGAAGUCUUGGUCUGCGUAUAAGGUUAAAAUCAUGUAUACUGCAAAUAACUACAGUGAAGCUCUGCGGAAGCUGCCUCUCGCGGAGCAGCAGACUGAUCUCCAGUCAGAGGACGAGACUUACUCCCUGAGGCCACUGAAACGGAAAAUAAAACGAAACAGACAGCUUCUGGAGGAAUACGACACUGACGAGGAGGCCACCGCACCCCAAAAAGCGAAUUUACCACAAGCCCCACAAAUACAACCACCAUGCAAAAGAACCAUUUUGUCAGCUUCCAGUGAGCUUCAACCAAGUCCUCCAGGCCAAAGACAAAACCGGCCCCCGAGUGUGACGCAGUGCGCAGAAACCUCCACACCGUCCUUGUUGGAAUGGCAUCAAAUAACUGUUGGGUCUUCUUCACACCGACCGACUGAACGGUCACCUACUCCUCCGCUUUACCACACACCCCGACAGCUGUGGCCAGAAAGAAGUUCAGCCAGAACAUCACAGGACCGUGUAAGUGAGUUUCGACAGGACGUGACUUCACCUUCUCCCGAACAGGCAACACAGUCUCUGUGGCAUCAGGAAAACAGCCUGUCAUGCUGUGAUCCAUUCAUAAGAUCGCUUCUUCAUGACCUGACCACAAAACAGGAGAUUGUUAUGGAGCAACAGAUGAGCUUAAUAAAGAUGGUUCAAGAUCUCCAAGCAAACAACGUCAGGGAGGUCACAGAUGCUGACCGUUUAAAUCAAAGACGUUUUCCGAUCGAAGACCUAAGCUCGUUAACUGCCCUGGAGAAUGACCUGCGAUCCUGUCCGGAAACCAGAAGAAAAGUGGUACAUGAACUGGGAAUGUUGGGCGGAGUGGAUGUGAAGGACACCGUCUGGAGAAUAAUGAAGCAGGCGAUCAAAAACGACUUGGCCAAAACUGUGAACUGGAGAGGUGUGAAUGGGAAAACGUCUUUCCAAAGUUUAGAGCUUAAAAGCGUCGUGAUUGAGGCUGUGAGAAGAAAUCCCACAUGUGCACAAAUAACGGAGCUGGAGGUGGAGAAAGCCAUCAUACGUUGGUUUCAUCUAGCUGGUGACCGCGAGGGCGGCAGAAAAAAGCGAGCGCCGUUGCAAGAUGUUAGUGUAGAGAACUGAUGUUAAGUGAAUCUCUACAAAGAGAGAAAAUAACAUGCUCUCAGUAUCUUAACAUGUUUUAUUUACAUUUGUAUUGUUUUAAUUUUGACUAUACAUAUUUGCACGUCUGUAAAUAUAUUUUAUAUUUCAUGUCCCAAUUUUAUAUUGAACUAGCUUUUGUUUAUUGGUUAUUUUGGCUGAUGCACUACAACAUUACAUAUUUAAUUUAUUUCUUAGUUUCUAUCGUCUUUUUAGGUGUUGUGUGCCUAUUUAUUUUAUUGUCUUAUUCUACUGUUGCUCUUUUGUCUGUCACAUCUUUUCACAUUUGUUUAACAGUAUCAGAACUCUUUACACUUUGCAUUUGCGCAUCUAGAAGAUUUUAUUUUUCAUUUGUCACUUAUUUAACACAUUUGUUUAUUGGUUUCUUUUAUUUGUGCAACUUUAUGCACUACAACUUUUAAAUUUACAUUUUAUUGUUUGAAACAUUUUAGUUUAUUGCUUGGUUUCUGUUGUAUUUUAUUCUUACUAUUUAUUUAUUGCUUUUGUCUUAUUCUUGUUUUAUCUUAUUUUGUUUAUCCGACACAUUUUCACAUUGUAUUUAUUUGUGCUAUUAUCUGGCUAAUAUUUGAGCAAUUUUUGUUAUUUCAUCUGCAUUAAUAAAGUUUAUACUUUGCAUUUGCUUAGUUUCUGUAGUUUUUUUUUUCUUCAGUUUUACAUUUCACAGUAUAUGAAUAUUAUAUAGCAGUUCCUUUUCAAACAGGAAAUAAAAUGAUCAAAAAUAUUUUUAUUUUUAUUUUUUGGUGGAUACAAAAAAAAAGAACCUGAAAUAUUGACCGUUUUUCGUUAGCGAGAUUUAAAUGGAAUGAUUACCCCGUAAACGUUUUCAUGCGUUUUUAAAUGUCGCUUCUAAACUAGGAUUUACGGUACUGAAAAGACAGUGCGAAAACCUAUUGGUCCUUUAAACGGUGACGUCACGCAUCUAGGAAAUGGUCAACUGUUUUGUGAGAUUUGUGUAAACAUUACUGAUACAUGUUCGACUAUCCUCAUCCUCAAACUCAGCGUGUAGUUGAAAGAAAACACACCAGACUGAACGCGAGGCUCUUUGGGAAUCGCCAUCAUCGAUACAAACACUCACAAACAACAGACUUUAUUAUUCAGCAGGGAAACGACUAGAAUGUCUGCAUCGGUUGAUAUCCACGCGCAGCUGGCGUCCAUCAUCGAGCGCUUCGCCAAAUGCGCGCUGCUGGAGAUGAGUCGCGCGGUGGAGCAGGAGAUGACGCGCCGGCAGAUGGAGGUCGAGACGCUGCUGGUCAAACUGCAGUUUACCGAGAGCGAACUGCGAUCAGCCCGACAGAACCAGCCGAACCUGCGCUCGGUGGGAAUACAGGUCAAUAACAGCGGACAGAGAGAGGUAAACCUCAACUUCGUAAAGAUAAAUGAAAAUCAUGACGGAGAAUCACAGACGGAGACACACACGGGCGAUACUUCAGCGCAGACGUUCACACUGAACGAAGACGGAAUCAAAUCCAUUCAGAUCAAAGAGGAACACAUGGAGGACGGACAGUGGGACAGCGGACCGAUUUCUCCUGCUCUUUGCCCGUUGGGUCCAGAUGUGGAAGACCAGGAUAGUUUCAGCAUGGGAACAACAGGAGCAGCUAGAGAGGGUAGUGAUUUUAUUCUAACGAGUAAAAUGAAGCCCGGUGGAAUGUGGAAUUCGCCUAUUUCCGAAGAAUAUCCAGCGAACUCCGGAGCCCAGAGUUUGGACGCUUCUCCUCUGGAAACAGGUGAGCGAUUCGCCACAGGUCUGUCUCCGAACCGACGGCACGAUCCAAACGCGCAGCAGUACGUGGACGAACCGUACAGAACUGCUGCCGCUAACCAUGCGCUUCCGUCGGCGUCAGAACACAGAGGAGACACAAAUGCAGAGAGAAGCUCUCGCUGCCCUCAGUGCGGAAAGACCUUCACCACGCGCUUCUACCUGAAGAUCCACCAAAGAAUCCACACCGGAGAGAGACCGUACACCUGCCCUCAGUGCGGCAAACGCUUCUACUGCAACUCUCACCUGAUUUCACACCAGCGCUCGCACACCGGAGAGAAACCGUACAGUUGUGAAGAAUGCGGCAAGUCCUACUCUCAUUUAAACUCACUGAAACUGCACCAGCGCAGCCACACUGAAGAGGAGGCGUAUGCGUAUUGGUAGCCUUCACAGCUUUUAUGAAAUGCCACAUUUUUGUUUUAAAUUUGACUUUUGACAUAAACUUUUAAGGAGGUUUUUUUUUUUAUGAUAAAAAGUAAUAUUGCUUUUAGUUUGAUAUACUGUUUUUCAGUAGUUGGUCAACUAAUCACAUUUAUAUACAUCUGUUUGAUAACCAUCAUCAGUCACAUGAAAUGCAUUUCAUUUAUAUAUGAAUUUAAUUUUUCAUUUUAUAACCUGUAAAACGAUGCUAAAUGCCUUCUAUGUUGUUUUCCACUACUUUGUGUUUGCGUGAAUUAUUUAAUAUGGGAGCAUCAAGAAGAUGCAUUUUGCAGUUGACAAUAAAACUCAUGACUUUCUGAUGUAA